GCGGCGCGCUUAUGCAUGCAAGUCGAGCGAUGAGGCUUCUUCGGAGGGCACAUCAGCGGCAGACGGGUGAGUAACACGUGGGUGACCUGCCCUUGAGACGGGGAUAACGGAUGGAAACAUGCGCUAAUACCCGAUAGGGUCCCAGGGUCAAAGCUGGGAUGAAAGCUUUGGUGCUCAAGGAGGGGCUCGCGGCCCAUCAGCUAGUUGGUGAGGUAACGGCUCACCAAGGCGAAGACGGGUAGGGGGUGUGAGAGCACGGCCCCCCACAAUGGGACUGAGACACGGCCCAUACUCCUACGGGAGGCAGCAGCAGGGAAUAUUGCACAAUGGACGGAAGUCUGAUGCAGCGACGCCGCGUGGAUGAUGAAGGCCUUCGGGUUGUAAAAUCCUUUACGGGGUGACGAGGAAGGACGGUAGCCCCGGAACAAGCGUCGGCUAACUACGUGCCAGCAGCCGCGGUAAGACGUAGGACGCAAGCGUUAUCCGGAUUUACUGGGCGUAAAGCGUCUGUAGGCGGAUGAGUAAGUUGGGCGUGAAAGCUCCGGGCUCAACCCGGAGAGGCCGUUCAAUACUGCUGAUCUAGAGGAGGCCAGAGGGGAGUGGAAUUCCUGGAGUAGCGGUAAAAUGCGCAGAUAUCAGGAAGAACACCAGUGGCGAAGGCGGCUCCCUAGGGCCCACCUGACGCUGAGAGACGACAGCUAGGGGAGCGAACAGGAUUAGAGACCCUGGUAGUCCUAGCCGUAAACGAUGGAUGCUAGGUGUAGGGCCGUAGAGGCUCUGUGCCGGAGCGAACGCGAUAAGCAUCCCGCCUGGGGAGUACGGCCGCAAGGCUAAAACUCAAACGAAUUGACGGGGGACCCGCACAAGCAGCGGAGCGUGUGGUUUAAUUCGAUGCUACACGAAGAACCUUACCUGGGUUUGACAUGGGCGUGGUAGUGAAGCGAAAGCGGAGCGACCCUUCGGGGAGCGUCCACAGGUGCUGCAUGGCUGUCGUCAGCUCGUGCCGUGAGGUGUCGGGUUAAGUCCCGUAACGAGCGCAACCCUUGCCCUUAGUUACAAGUGUCUAAGGGGACUGCCGGCGGGAAGCCGGAGGAAGGUGGGGAUGACGUCAAGUCAGCAUGGCCCUUAUAUCCAGGGCUACACACACGCUACAAUGGCCGGUACAGAGGGCAGCGAAGCCGCGAGGUGGAGCGAAUCCCAGAAAGCCGGUCGUAGUUCGGAUUGCAGGCUGCAACCCGCCUGCAUGAAGCUGGAGUUGCUAGUAACCGCGCGUCAGCCAUCCUGCGCUGAUACGUUCCCGGGUCUUGUACACACCGCCCGUCACGUCAUGGG
rnacentral:rRNA from 1 species